CUCAAAAGCUUCUAGACCUUCCGGGAAAGUCUAGAACAUGAGGGAGACACCUCACCACCUUUGCAUGCCCUCUCAUUUCAUCACCAGAAGGAGAUACCUCCUUCUGGUCUCUUCUAAAUUGUUCCUCCCUUACUUUUCUUCCCCUUUAUUUAUUACCUGCUUCUCUUUCCCUCUGUAGCCUCUACUACCAAUAUCAGUAGCAACAAACUCGCGUUUCUCUUUUUCCUUGUGACAUUCUUGCGCAUACAUUAUUUUUCUAUUAAUAAAAACUAGUCAGGAAUGGAAGAACCAAAAUACACUGUGGCAUCUGAUAGUGAAACCACUGGGGAGGAGAAAUCUUCACCGGCUUUUGCAGAAAUUGCAAUUGGAAUUGACAUCGGGACUUCACAGUGCAGUAUUGCAGUCUGGAAUGGCUCCGAGGUAGAGCUCCUAAAGAACACCAGAAACCAAAAGUUGAUGCGAUCAUAUGUUACCUUCAAGGAAGAAGUCCCUUCAGGUGGAGUCAGCAAUCAGAUCUCCCAUGAAUAUGAAAUAUUAUCCGGAGUUGCAAUUUUCAACAUGAAACGACUGAUUGGUAGAGUGGAUACUGAUCCUGUAGUUCAUGCAUGCAAAAGGCUUCCAUUUUUGGUUCAAACUUUGGAUAUUGGUGUUCGCCCAUUUAUCGCAGCUUUAGUGAACAAUGCUUGGAGAUCCACCACGCCUGAAGAAGUCCUUGCAAUAUUUCUGGUUGAACUUCGAGCCAUGGCUGAACUUCAGUUGAAGAAGCCCAUAAGAAAUGUUGUUCUAACCAUUCCAGUGUCAUUUAGCAGGUUUCAAUUGACACGGAUUGAACGUGCUUGUGCCAUGGCUGGCCUCCACAUCCUCCGGUUGAUGCCUGAGCCGACAGCUGUGGCAUUGUUAUAUGCACAGCAGCAGCAACAGACUGUGCAUGAGAAUAUGGGAAGCGGAAGUGAGAAGAAUGCCCUUAUAUUUAACAUGGGUGCUGGGUAUUGUGAUGUAGCUGUUACUGCCACUGCUGGAGGAGUUUCACAGAUUAAGGCUUUAGCAGGAGCUGCUAUUGGAGGCGAAGACAUACUGCAGAACAUGAUGCAGUAUCUCUUGCCAAACUCAGAGAGCCUUUUCCUGAACCACAGAGUCGACGAGAUCAAAUCGUUGGGGUUGCUUCGAGUAGCAACCGAAGAUGCAAUCCAUCAGCUCUCCUCACAGAGCAGUGUUCAGGUGGAUGUUGACUUGGGAAAUGGAUCCAAAAUAUAUAAGGUGGUCACUAGGGAGGAAUUCGAGCGAGUGAACCUGAAGGUGUUUGAAAAGUGUGAGAGCCUGGUAACACGGUGCUUGCGUGACUCAAAGGUAGACAUAGAAGAUUUGACUGAUGUUAUACUUGUAGGCGGGUGUUCAUAUAUCCCAAAGAUAAGAAACGUUGUCAAGGCUGUGUGCAAAAGAGAGGAACUUUACGAAGCAAUAAAUCCAUUGGAAGCUGCAGUCUGUGGGGCAGCACUAGAAGGAGCAGUUGCAUCAGGAAUCACUGACCCCUUCGGAAGUUUGGAUCUGUUAACAAUCCAAGCUACCCCCCUUGGCAUUGGAAUUAGAGCAGAUGGGAACAGCUUUGUCCCAAUCAUACCUAGAAAUACCACAAUGCCAGCAAGGAAAGAGUUGUUAUUCACAACCACCCAUGAUAACCAAACCGAAGCUCUAAUCCUUGUCUAUGAAGGUGAGGGGACAAAGGUGGAAGAGAAUCAUCUUCUGGGCUAUUUCAAGAUCGUGGGAAUCCCAGCUGCACCCAAAGGAGUUCCAGAGAUAAAUGUGUGCAUGGACAUUGAUGCCUCAAAUACGCUCAGAGUUUUUGCUGGAGUGGUGAUUCCAGGAACUGAUCAGCCAAUGGCACCGUUUAUGGAAGUCAGGAUGCCUACAGUUGAUGAUGGGCAUGGCUGGUGUGCUGAAGCCCUAAACCGGUCAUAUGGGUCGACUCUUGAUCUGGUUACCGUGCAGAAGAAGAUGUGAAGGCGAGGGUGACAUUCUAGACUGCAUCAGUUUAGGAAGAUAAAAGAGUGUCGAAUUGAAAAGUUGUUUACGUUGCACAAGAAAGUGAGCUUGCUGAACGUUAUAGAGAUAAAAUCUAGCUGCAACAUAUCGACUCAACGAGUUUGGAAGGGAGAAUGAUUUGAAGUACAGUUAGAAGUUUCAGUUUGAUCAUUGUCACCACGCAGCUUCAAUUUUGUGGGUGGGUUCUGAAGGAUUUAUAUGUUCUGGGCUGUGUCUACAUCGCCAUUAUACUCUGAGGGUCAGGUCAAGUGUAACAGGGCAUAACAACGGUCCAUCUCAGAGUAAUUAGUGGUUAAGAGAUAUAAGUGGUCAUGGCUGAGUUUUAUACCCCUAAAAUUGGACGAAGCACAAGAGACCAAUACGAGUUGUUCUUAUGGGCCUGUUCUCACAAAAUUCAAAUAAUUAUUAAUAAAAUAAAAUUAUUUGCCAGUG